rnacentral:rRNA from 1 species
UACGAAGGGUGCAAGCGUUACUCGGAAUUACUGGGCGUAAAGGGUGCGUAGGUGGUUGUUUAAGUCUGUUGUGAAAGCCCCGGGCUCAACCUGGGAAUGGCAAUGGAUACUGGACAGCUAGAGUGCGGUAGAGGGUAGUGGAAUUCCCGGUGUAGCAGUGAAAUGCGUAGAGAUCGGGAGGAACACCAGUGGCGAAGGCGGCUACCUGGACCGGUUCUGACACUGAGGAGCGAAAGCGUGGGGAGCAAACAGG